rnacentral:ncRNA from 1 species
UUCUCUCGGGCCUUUGGUACGCACGGAUUGGGUUCAAAUUACCCAAUCCCGAUUCGGGGAGGUAGUGACAAUAAAUACUGAUACAGGGCUCUUUUGGGUCUUGUAAUUGGAAUGAGUACAAUUUAAAUCUCUUAACGAGGAACAACUGGAGGGUAAGUCUGGUGCCAGCAGCCGCGGUAAUUCCAGCUGCAUU